CUCUCUGCUUCUGCCUCUUGCCACCAAGGCAUAUCUUCUCUGUCAACAUGGAUGCUCCCUCCCAAACUGAACCUUCAAUGGGAGUGGGUACGUGUCUUCCUCAUAACCACUGGAGAACUACCAUACUAAUCCUUCACGUGGGAUAACUUCCUCAAGCGCAUUGGCGUCUACCUGGAAAAUACAUUCUGGAUGGAAAUACAGUGGAUGUGCAGGCCUAAUGUGACAUCUUUGAAGAGAAGAUCCAGGCUACAAGUGAAGGACUGAGCUAUUCUCAAAUGUACUUACUGCCAGCAAUAUAAGCCAGGCUCCGUCUAUGAUCUAGGACCUGUGUGAAGACUCUAGCGGUGGACACCAUCUUGGCUAGUGCUACGUUCUGUGAUGUCAACCUCACUAAGGUGUCCACCGUGAUGCUAAUGGUGGGCAUGGGCACUGUCAUGGAUGCCAGAGAGUUGAGGAUCCUCAUCACAGGUUCUCCCAGGCCUCUGCUCUGUACAGGACCAUUGAGGAGCGGAUAAACUAUAUGUGGACCACACCUACCUUCCGGAUUUCAUGUGUGAGUGUGAUGAGGAUGCUAGUUUGGCACUGGCGGUGAAGACGCUGGCAUCUCAGCAUUUUAUGCCUGUCUAUAACAAGUACUAAGUCAGUGAGCAGGGUCUUCAGAAACACCAGUCCUCUGGGGAGCCACACAGUAAGUAGCCAGUAUUAGGAUCUGGAUCCAGUACCUCAGAAGGACAGUGUGAAGGAUUGAACCCAGGGCCUUGUGCAUACCAGGCAAGUGUUCUUCCAGUGAACUAUAUCACCAAACUUCUACUCAUCUUUUAUUAUGGAUUUGUAGCUCAAUCAGAGAAAAAGAAAGCUCUCUGGAAAAUAUGCUGCAGCCUUUUUUUUCUGAUCUACCCAAGCGGGGGUCGCAGCUUUCCCUCUGCCUCUACCUUGGUCCGAGUGUACCACCAACUCCCAAGGAGAACUGUUUUCCGCUCUGCAUGCAUCUCAGGUGGGCGGGACCGAGAGCUUAGGUGUUUUCAGCCCUGCCAGUCCUCUGAGUGGACCUGCCCAUUGAGAGUCACUAUCACAGAUCAACAAACUUUCUGAACCUAAGUUCUCCACACACAAGAAUACUGGUCCUCUGUUGAUACCACACACCCUGGGAAGAGACCCGUCUCUCAUCCUCCCAGUGUGUUUCCCUGCCUUCUACAAACUUGGAAGCCUCCGUGGGUAGGGCUGGGUAGAGGGGCUACAAUGAUGACUUCAGCAGAUAAACCGAAAGCCUUCAAGGGCCUAAGCCGCUUCAUCAUAGUCUCCUCUCUCAAGCAUCCAAGGAGAGAAAGACAAAAGAAAAAAAAAUCUUUCCCCACCAGGCUGCUGUGUUUUGUCAAGGGCUCUUAUACACUCUUCAGGAAAGAGAAGGUCUAUGCUGUGAUAGAAACCACCAUGAUUUCCGUGUUGCUUACUCAAAGAGAGGGGUGUCUCCACACACAGGGCCUCCUUCCCAGGCUGCUAGGCUCUGCCUGCCUCGCCACUCUCCAGCCUCUAUGGAGUUGCCCGUUUGAAGCCACUUCUCCUCCUCUGGGCACUGGCGUCUCAGACCUUGGCUGUGACCUCUUUGUCAGUACUGUGCUUAGCACUAGCAUCUUCCCCAUAGCUUUUAAACAUGACUGUACUACCAUCCUGUAUCAAGCUAAUAGAUCAAUAUACUUGUUUAUGGUAUGAUACUUUCCUAAUAAAUCCAAUAUU